ACAAAAUAUUUGCUUUAGGCUCGUAGGGGGCUAGUCGCUAGGUGGCCCAGGUGCUGUGCUGAGCUGAGCUGCUGAUGGCCACAUUUAUCAUGGCGUCGUAGCGGCUAGUUAUAUCACGGCAGCCGAACGUGGCAGACCUUUAUUUUUGUAGGUGAAAUCCAAGGGAGGAACUGCAAAUGCUCGGCGCCAUCUUGUACGAACGAUGUGGUCUGGCGGACACCUUACCAAGGUGACCAUGCAUUACCUUCGAGUGUAUUUAAGUUGCAAGUCGGUAGAUUUGCUCUGCAGUUUCCCGGAUACCAGCACCCUGCUUCGCGAGAACUACUCUACGUUGUUCUGGGGGGCUUAGACGAACAUCUGAAUCCGAUUUUGAAGAAGUCUUGCAUCGAUGGACACUGACAAAAUAUAGGAAGCUGCACAUGAAUGUUGGGUAUUUUAUCAUAAGUAGAAUACAGAUAGAUUCUGUAGUAGUAGAUCUCUUUAGUUGGGUAUUGAAAUUGGCUUUGGUUUGUAUGGGGUCUGAUGAGGUCUCAGUUGCAUUUGAUCCUACUUGUUAUUUAUCACUGCCAAUGCCAGUCGAAAAGGAAGUACCAGUUGACCUGUAUCUGGCUAACAUGGACCUUUUAGCAGAAAUUUUUCUGCUUUCAAGGGAUUCAAAGAGUUUGCAGAAUAUUAUGUCUCUAGGAUUCCACAGUUUUAGAUUCUUAAUUAUAAAGGAUUGGGAAAGAAAAUUGACGGAGGCUCAGUGCCAAAAAAAUUAUGGUAGUUGGAAUGAUUACCGAAGCUCUUCGGAUUCGUUUAUUUCACUCGUUAUGGUAUUUAAAGAAAAUAAACGUGUACCUGUGCCCCUUUGUAUCUGUGACCCGAUUUCCUCUUCACUUGCGAUAAUUCUGCAGCGGGUCAUGCAGAUACUGUGAUCAGCAGAAAAAGUUGGAAGUGCGCUGCCCGGAAAGCAAAUCUGGGGUAAAAGAAAAAAACUUAUUCCAACUAGUAAGCCAUUCCCAAAUUCAACCAACAAAAAGGUACACAGUGAGAUUUGCUUAACAAUUAUGUUUCUUUAAUUGAUUUUAAAAUUAGGAAAAGGUGGAAGGAAAAACUUCGUUCUCUGGUAGUGUUUUAGUUAAAAUCCUUUUUGUGCAAAUUCAUUUUUGAAAUUGUUUACCUCAUUUUCGAAUGGUUCCGUUCACAUUUGUUGUUCAUGUGAGAUUUUAUGUUUACCAGUUAAUGCAUUAUAUUGACCACUAUUGCAAGAUGUUUGUUUAGGAAUAACUACUGUUUUGUUUAUCUGGAAUGUUGUGUGGGUGUCCAUCAGGAAUUGCUGGUCUGCAGUAAAUUUGUCAGGUAUAUGUUAGCUUUCAUCAGCAAAACGUUAUGCACUAAUUGUGUUUGGUUUUCGUGGUAUAGGCUAGGUGAUGAAGAUCAAUGAAUCAGAAAAUGUUUUGCAUGGGUGGUGAAUGUUCUGACAGUUUUAACAGUUGUGAUGUGGUGUAUUUCACUUCCACGCAUCAUGGUGUUUUUAUCUAUCAGUUGAAUUGUAUGGUUAAUUUUCUGUUCGUGUAACCUCAUUUCCUCUUGAAUCAUAUAGUAGAAAUUGGUGACCUGAAACAAUGAACAUGGAAAAAUCACCUGUGCCAACGUUGACGAUGUUUGAUUGAUGAAGUGCUGGAAACUAAAAUUAAUUUUCUUUACAAUUUGGUUUCAGGCUAUCUUUAUAAUUUUUUAUUAGUUUUGCGUUUGUUUAGAGUCCGCAAGCUCGUAGCUGAUUUCCUCCUUUAGAUACCACCUGUCGACGGUUUGACAGCCUCACACAAUUGAACGUAUGCCAAAAAGCCAAAGUGAGCUCUUCCGAUCAGAAAAGUGACGGCGUAUCCAUUUAAUUGAAAAUAGGCACAAGAUAACGCACAAUUGGCGUUCUUGCCUCAAUGGAGAAAUUUUUCCGUGGAACUUAUGACCGAAAUACCAUUGCAGCUGUUCAAAAAAAAAAGAAAAGUGUAUUAUCAUGCAGAUGUUGACUAGCUAACAAUCCAGAGAUACGUCAACUUGCGAAAUUUCUAGAUGUGUGUGAAGCGCAAUCAGCAUCCUUGUUGAACUGUGAACCCAAAUCAUGUAUUUUCCUAGAAAUAUCUAGGUUUUUGGAUAAAUAAAUAAAAGUCAGUGAAAAAAUGUGA